rnacentral:rRNA from 1 species
AGCAGCCGCGGUAAUUCCAGCUCCAAUAGCGUAUAUUAAAGUUGUUGCAGUUAAAAAGCUCGUAGUUGAAUUUCGGGGUUAGUAGGUUGGUCAUGCCUCUGGUAUGUACUGGUCUCACUGAUUCCUCCUUCCUGAUGAACCUUAAUGCCAUUAAUUUGGUGUUUUGGGGAAUUUGGACUGUUACUUUGAAAAAAUUAGAGUGUUUAAAGCAAGCUAACGCUUGAAUACAUUAGCAUGGAAUAAUGAAAUAGGACGUUCGAUCCUAUUUUGUUGGUUUCUAGGAUUGACGUAGUGAUUAAUAGGGAUAGUUGGGGGCAUUAGUAUUCAAUUGUCAGAGGUGAAAUUCUUGGAUUUAUUGAAGACUAACUACUGCGAAAGCAUUUUGCCAAGGAUGUUUUCAUUAAUCAAGAACGAAAGUUAGGGGAUCGAAGACGAUCAGAUACCGUCGUAGUCUUAACCAUAAACUAUGCCGACUAGGGAUCGGAUGAUGUUAAUUUUUUUAAUGACUCAUUCGGCGCCU